rnacentral:rRNA from 1 species
AACAAACGCUGGCGGCGUGCCUAAUACAUGCAAGUCGAACGGGGAAAGCUUUCGGGUGAGUACUAGUGGCGCACGGGUGAGUAACGCGUGGAUAAUCUGCCUUAGAGUGGGGGAUAACUAGUCGAAAGAUUAGCUAAUACCGCAUAAGACCACAAGAACUGCGGUUCAAGGGGUCAAAGGUUUUUCGCUCUAAGAUGAGUCCGCGUAAGAUUAGCUAGUUGGUAGGGUAACGGCCUACCAAGGCGACGAUCUUUAACUGGUCUGAGAGGAUGAUCAGUCACACUGGAACUGAGACACGGUCCAGACUCCUACGGGAGGCAGCAGUAGGGAAUAUUGCACAAUGGAGGAAACUCUGAUGCAGCGACGCCGCGUGAGUGAUGAAGGCCUUCAGGUCGUAAAGCUCUGUCGCAGGGGAAUAACACAAUGAAGGUACCCUGUAAGAAAGGAUCGGCUAAGUUCGUGCCAGCCGCCGCAGUAAUAC